UGGCAAUGAUGAAUGUGCAGAGACUGACCUGGUAUUGCUGUCUUCUGGGGCUGCUCUGACCAGGACAUGAUCUGAUAUGUUCAAUCUUCUCUCUGAGCUC
rnacentral:snoRNA from 1 species